UGCUCCCCCAGCUCUGCAGAUCUGGCUGCCUCUGGCCUCAGCUGCCACUUCGUCAUCCCGGCCGGCUCAGGAAAAGGAGUCAUUUGUUGCCUGAACAUUGGGCUGAGUUGGUAAAAGUGACCGAAAAUGAAUCUGUAGGACUUUGGACUUUGCCUGUCCCUGGAAGACUCUGUGGCUAAACAGAAAUAACAAUAUGGGAGUGAAAGCUGAGAAAUGGAGUGGGAAGGGUUUCUGCAAAUGGGACAGCCCCAGCAUUCUCCAAAAGGACUUAGCAGCCUCUGCCAUCACUAACACCGUACUGACUGCUGAGCACUGAAUUACUUGGCCAUGAACCUAUGCAGAUACCCAACCACAUACUCUUCUUGUGGGCUCUUUGUGGAGGUGCCACCGGGUGUCUCUGAUCCCUGGGGCCCAGGCUGCCUCCAUAAGAAGGGGGCAUCACUGCUACUUUAUCUCCUGAAUUUUAGAGUAAGAGCUCCGGAUAUGGGUGAGGCUUUUGCUCUUUGAAGUAUUGCAUGGCAAGAUGGAAGAAGGUAAGAGCAGUAGGUAGAAGGUGAAGAACUUCUUAGGCCUUCAUUUCAGGCUCCUGAUUUCCCACGUAUCCAUAUUGUAAAGUCCCUUUCCAGCUGAUUUUCAGUUUCUCUGUAAUGAAAGCAGAAGCAUUGUGAAUAUUGGCUUUCCACACCAGAAGAGAUUAGAUAAAAAGAUGAUGCAAGCUCACUUUAAAGUCACAAUGUACUCUUAAGGAUAAAUCUUUCCACAAAACCCUGAAAAGCAGCUUGCAGCAGGGGUGGUGGGUUUAGGAAUCCAAGAGUAAGUAGUAGCUGAGCUGGCUCAGCAAUUUCCUAAGUUAGCAUUGAUUAAUCCUUCUUUCUAAUGUUACCUGUAUGAAACAAAUAGACCUUUGCCAUUUCAUUUGGUGGCCAUCUAUGUGCUGCUGGUUUAAUAGCUAAUUUAAGCUGUCCUACAUAAGUACUGCCUUUAUUUUCUGUUAGUUAUCUGUGAUUUUGCUGUUUUGUGUCCCUCCAGGUAUUAUGUGUCACUACUGAAUUAUUUUCUAAACAAUGCUCUGGGGAAGCUUAGAUAUAACCUGAAAGGUGAGACCUACCAUUGAAUUCCCAAACUUUCAAAAUCUUUGUAUUUAACCUCUGCUUGAGCUUUCUAGGUAUUUUGGCUAUGAGGUUUUCCACAUCUUAGCCCAGCUCUUCCCAAAGCUAAUUGUUACUGCCGCUGACCUGGAGUGAGUUGAGUGAGGAUCCUGACAGCUCUACAUCCACCUUAUCCUGAUUUUCUUUCUUUCUGAUUUAGUGUCUGAUGUAAUGUGCAGCGCUGAAUACCAAUGGUGUCUCAUUAAUGGAUUUUUUUCCUUCCUGUACUUUGUUUUGUAUUUAGAUCUAAUAAAUGUGGAUGGCUGCUGCUAAUGGAUGAAUUGGCAGUCCACAGUCUUUGUUGACAGAUUCAGCCAGCAACAUAUCUGUAUUUUUUUAAGAUGUUAAUCAGUUGUGUGCUCACUAAUGACUUUUGUGACUACAAAAGUUAGGGCUAGAGUGAUGAGGUAAGUGACAUACUUCCUAGGACACGCUUCCUAGUGUCAUGCUGGUUUUCAGUGCUCACACUUAUCAUUAGGGGUAC